AACGAACGCUGGCGGCAUGCCUAACACAUGCGAGUCGAACGAGACCUUCGGGUCUAGUGGCGCACGGGUGCGUAACGCGUGGGAACCUGCCCUUAGGUUCGGAAUAACUCCCCGAAAGGGGUGCUAAUACCGGAUAAUGUCUUCGGACCAAAGAUUUAUCGCCUUUGGAUGGGCCCGCGUUGGAUUAGCUAGUUGGUAGGGUAAAAGCCUACCAAGGCGACGAUCCAUAGCUGGUCUGAGAGGAUGAUCAGCCACACUGGGACUGAGACACGGCCCAGACUCCUACGGGAGGCAGCAGUGGGGAAUAUUGGUCAAUGGGCGAAAGCCUGAUCCAGCAAUGCCGCGUGAGUGAUGAAGGCCUUAGGGUUGUAAAGCUCUUUUACCCGGGAUGAUAAUGACAGUACCGGGAGAAUAAGCUCCGGCUAACUCCGUG
rnacentral:rRNA from 1 species